UACACAUGCGUUUUCAUUAGGUUGU
rnacentral:piRNA from 1 species